GACGGUUUGGCUGGGGUCUGAGGUGCCAGAUUUAGGCUCUAGUCCGAAAGGGCGUGGGUUCAAAUCUCACAGCCGUCC
rnacentral:tRNA from 1 species